AGUGGCGGACGGGUGAGUAACGCGUGAGAAUCUGCCUUCAGGUCGGGGACAACAGAGGGAAACUUCUGCUAAUCCCGGAUGAGCCUUAGGGUAAAAAAUUUAUUGCCUGGAGAUGAGCUCGCGUCUGAUUAGCUAGUUGGUAAGGUAAAAGCUUACCAAGGCAACGAUCAGUAGCUGGUCUGAGAGGAUGAGCAGCCACACUGGGACUGAGACACGGCCCAGACUCCUACGGGAGGCAGCAGUGGGGAAUUUUCCGCAAUGGGCGAAAGCCUGACGGAGCAAGACCGCGUGGGGGAGGAAGGCUCUAGGGUUGUAAACCCCUUUUCUUUGGGAAGAACAAAAUGACGGUACCAAAGGAAUCAGCCUCGGCUAACUCCGUGCCAGCAGCCGCGGUAAUACGGAGGAGGCAAGCGUUAUCCGGAAUGAUUGGGCGUAAAGCGUCCGCAGGUGGCAAUGUAAGUCUGCUGUCAAAACCCAGGGCUCAACUCUGGUCAGGCAGUGGAAACUACAUAGCUAGAGUUCGGUAGGGGCAAAGGGAAUUCCCGGUGUAGCGGUGAAAUGCGUAGAGAUCGGGAAGAACAUCCGUGGCGAAAGCGCCUUGCUAGACCGAAACUGACACUCAGGGACGAAAGCUAGGGGAGCGAAUGGGAUUAGAUACCCC
rnacentral:rRNA from 1 species